UCUGAAACAAGCUGGUUUUUCAUAUAUUUGAAUCAUAUCGAGAUCCCGAAGCAAGCCGAGGAAAAGAAAAAGUAGUUGAUUAGUCCCUGAACUUUUACAAAUUCUGCAAAUCGACCCAGAUUGACGUAUUUAUAUAUUCAGAGGAUCGGAUCUACAUCAGAAUCACACUAUCCAGAUAUACUCCGGUAGAUUAUGUUAAACAACUUUUUGGAUUUAUAUGACAUGUAUAGGGAAUUGAAGUAAAAAGUAAUUGAAUGAAUAACUAAGUAUGCAAAGUAACUUUGAAUGUGAUGGUUGUGUUAGACAUUGAAAAAUACAUGUUUUUAGUUUGAAAUGGUUGAUUGGUUGAACUUCAUUAGUAUUCAAGUGAAGUAGUUGAAAUACUGAAAUUGGUUGUGAUUUGAAAUUGCAGGGAAGGUUAGGUAAUUAUAAAGGGGUUAUAUUGAAUUUUUAAAAAAAAAUUUCAAUGGAAUAGUUUUUGGACAGCAGCAUUGAUGUAACUUUGAAAAAUCACUAAAAAUGGUGGAAAUAGAAUUAGAAGUUGAAUGAGAUAUGAAAUUAAAGCUGAAUGAGUCUACUUUCACAUGAAAGAAGUAGAGUAAGCAAAAGAAUUAUAUACUUUUAGAUAUUUGAAUUUUAGUGAAACAGGGCAAGAAUGUUUUUGAAGUCCCUGUUCUGACUUUAGAAAUUCAUUAAAAAUUGUACAGAAGGAAUUAUUUGUUAUAAUUUAUAUGUAUAGAUUCCUCAAUGAGUCUAUUUUCAGUAGAAAUAAGUGGAAGCAUCAUAUGAAGUAUGUACAAAGAGAUAAUUUAAUUUUAGUGACAGGAGGUCAAGAUAGUCAAUCAGUGAAACAGGGGAGACUUUAACUAAUAAACUGUACUAAUUGGCUGAACCAAAAAUUCUAAAAAUUUUAUGGUAAAAAUAUAUAUGAGUCUAGUUUCAGGGAAAAUUUACGGAUAUAAAUUUUGAGUUUUUUAGCUUGAGUUAAAAUUGAUUUAGUGACUGCUGCGCAGGUGGACAGCUUUGUUGUGAAUGGUAAAAUUAAUUUUGAAAGUAAAUUUUUAUGCUCUAAACUUUUAAGUUAAGUCAAGUAAUGCCUCAUGCUCGACUCCGGAAACGGUCUCGGGUAAGAGGUGUUACACAAAAUUCGUGUAUACAAUUACAUAUUAAACCAAAAUUCAUGUAUAGUUUUGAGGUUACCCCUAUAUUAAUGACAUAUUCUUUUAGUUCUAUAAAUAGAGUGUUUGAAAGUUCUGUCCCAUAGCAUGCCAAGAGCCUAAGACCUUCAAACAAGGAAAUGUUAUUGGAAAAUUCUAAUAAGUGCAUAUUGAGGCUAAAAGAAUAUGUACCAUUAGAUUAAAAAGUAAGUAAUGUGAUUUGAACCUUUCAAAAAAAAAAGAGGGUAAAUUACACCAACAAUCACUCAACUUUAGGGCAGUUGACAAAACAGUCAUUUGGGUUUUAAUUUAGUCACUCAACUUUCAAAAAAUAACAAAAACAGUCACCACUAACCAUUUUCCAUUAUAAACGUAGCAGAGCUACCAUUUUCCGUUACAAACUUAACGGAGCUGCCAUUUUCCAUCCUUCUCCCUUUUCCCCACCAUCCCUCCCCCUACUCUGAUUCUCUCUCCCUCUCCCCCUUUUUCUCACCAUCCCUCCUCCUACUUUGAUUCUUCCCGUCUCUUCCACAGUCCCAAAAUUGAAAAUGUUGCAUUAAAGUUGCUCUUUGUUCUGUUCUAUUAUUAUUUUAAUAGCAAAACACACACACACACACACACAAAAGAAAAGCUAAAAAGAACAAUGUCGCAAAGUAAAGUGACGAUGGAGGUUGGAAACGACGGCGUUGCAGUCAUCACCAUCUCCA